rnacentral:misc_RNA from 1 species
GAAAUGCGAUAAGUAAUGUGAAUUGCAGAAUUCAGUGAAUCAUCGAAUCUUUGAACGCACCUUGCGCCCUUUGGUAUUCCGAAGGGCAUGCCUGUUUGAGUGUCAUUAAAUUAUCAACCUUGCUCGCUUUUACCGGCUUGAGCUGAGGCUUGGACGUGGGGGUUUUUGCUGGCUUCCUUCAGUGGAUGGUCUGCUCCCCUUAAAUUCAUUAGCGGGAUCUCUUGUGGACCGUCACUUGGUGUGAUAAUUAUCUAUGCCGUUUGACCUUGAAGCAAAUUUAUGGGACCCUGCUUAUAACCGUCUCUUACCGGGACAAUUUAAUAACAUCUUGACCUCAAAUCAGGUAGGACUACCCGCUGAACUUAA